AACAAGGCGUACCUGCGGACCUGCGGAGGGAUCAUUAUCGAGUGCGAACCCCCCCGUAAAAAAGGGGGGUUACCUCCCGUCCUUUGUUGGGCACCCCUUUCAAUUGGAAGGGGUUGUCUUUCAUACCCUCUGCUUCGGCGGGGUGACCUGCCGGAACAACCUCAAAAAAUUCUCAGUCAAAACUGUUCAGUCCGAGAACUUUUGAAAAGCGAAAAAAACUUUCAACAACGGAUCUCAGAU
rnacentral:misc_RNA from 1 species